GAGUCCCGGCCGCUCCAGCGCACAGUUCCGGAGUGGAGGGAGGAAGUCCCAUCCCGGCUGCCAGGUUCCCCCCUCCUCUCUCCGUUGCGCUUGCGAGGAGCGCCUAGACUCUUCUUCCUCCGCCCCUCCUGGGAGGCAGCUCGGGACCGCAGGACUUGACUCCCCGCCCCUCACUCUGAGAGGGGGAGGAGUGAGGGAAAAAGACAUCUUGUUCUCACAGCUGCAGGUUGCCCAACCGAGGGCAUUUGUCUUUUGGGGAGCAGAGUGCACGCCAGAAAACCCAGGUGUGUUUGGAAUAACAUAGCAUUUAACACAACAAGGAACACUUUUACGGAUAACAAAAAAUAGCAUUAAAAAUUAAAAGCAAUUACUUUCCGAUUUUAAAAAAUUGGCCCACGUUUUCCAUGCUCUCACAAGGGAUCCGACAGAGCUGCUGAAGAGGCAGCAGCGAUAUUGUACGACCCUGAGUCAAGGCAUCAGAUCAAACUCAAUCUGGACGUCCUCACAUGCUGCCAGACCCUGGAAUUGCAGAGAAGAAUGGGAGAUGGGCCCUGCCCUGAUGAACUCACAGUUACCUGCUGUUAGCCACUGUCUGGAAAUAGAUGAUCUUCCUCUGAUCUAUGGACAGAAGGCCAAGGGUAGCCUGAUUCUGUAUCACAACACCAUUAUUCACCUCACUUCAUCUCAUCACAUGAGCAUCUUAUCAUCUCACAUCAUCACAAGAGGAAGAAGCGUGAUACAGUACAAUGAAAUGCUUUGAGAGAGAGACUACAUUCACAUAACUUUUAUUGCAUGGUGUUAUCAUUAGCUAUUAUUAUUAGCUAUUAUUAGCUAUAAUUGUUAAUCUCUUACCGCCUAAUCUAUUAACUAAGCUUAAUAAUAGGUAUAUAUAUAGGAAAAACAUUGUAUAUAUAGGGUUCAGUACUAUUCAUGAUUUCAGGCAUCCACUGAGGUCUGCAGGUUAAGGGGGACUACACCUUAAACUUACACAAUGUUAUAUGUCAAUUAUACUGUAUCUCAUUUUUUUUAAGAUUUUAUUUUUAAGUAACCUCUACACCCAACGUGAGGCUCAUACUCUUAACCCAAGAUCGAGAGUUGCAUGCUCCUGACUGAGCCAGCCAGGAGCCCCAAUUAUAUCUCAAUUUUUUUAAAAGCAAGUCGGAUGCAGAAACUUGAAAGAAAUAAGAGACAGAGAAUAACAGAAUUAGAAUAGAAAUUGACAAAAUUAUCCCCAAAGGCUAUCAAAAGAUGUAUCAAAACAAACAUGUAACUGAGAAAAAUAGGUAAAUCCAAAAGUCAGAUACUGAAAAAUUAAUACAGGCUCUAGAAAAAUUGAUCAACAGAAAGAAAAAGAGGGAAGAUUCAAAAUAGAGCUUCAUAAUGCAAAAAAAUAGAAAUCAUCACAGAUCCUAGAGUUACUGAACAAACAAUACUAAUGUAUUAUUAAUAAUACUUUAAAAAGCUGAGUUCCCAAAUCCCAAGCUUCCCUUGCCAACAGAAGUAGCAUUUCUCUAUAUGAGAAAACUAUCAUUCACUAAUUGGAAGAGCUUUCAAGACUUCAUCUGAGGCCUUUGCCUAUUCUCCUCAAAACCUGCCCACAUGGCACCUCACCAGCUCCAGGGCCCAUAGUAAGAGUAACUCCCAGCAUAGCCCAGGAAGAUGAUUGCACGGUCUCCUGGGGCAGGGAUGGAAAUAGAUUUAUACACCGAGGGAGUUAGAAUAUCUUGCCAAUAUGUAUUGGGAGAAAGCUGACAGUCAUAUAUGGGCAUGGAACAUAAAGUGUUAAACUGAGGCACCUGGGUGGCUCAGUCAGUUAAGCAUCUGACUUCAGCUCAGGUCAGGAUCUCACAGUUUGUGGGUUCAAGCCCCGAGUCGGGCUCUGUGCUGACAGCCUGGACCUGAUUCAGCUUCUGUGUCUCCUUCUCUCUCUGCCCCUCCCCUGCUCAUGCUCUGUCUCUCUCUCUCUCUCUCAAAAAUAAACAUUAAAAAGUUAAAAAAAAAACAAUGAAGUGUUAAACCAAUGGGCCCCUGGGAGGCUCAGGUCAUGAUCUCAUGGUUCAUGAGUUUGAACCCUGCAUCGGGCUCUACACUGACAGUGUGGAGCCUGCUUAGGAUUCUCUUUCUCUCCCUCUCUCUCUGUCCUUUCCCUGCUCCCAUCCAUGCUAUCUCUCUCUUAAUAAAUAAACUUAAAAAAAUUAAAGUGUUAAACCAAGAAGUAUAAAAUAUAAGGUUGGAUUCAGCAGAAUUUAUGAAUAAAUUUUGUACUCAGGAUUCUUGAUAAAAUAUGUCAUAUUCAGCACCUGUGAGUGGCUCAAAGGUUUGAUUCCUUAGUUUAUUGAAGCCUAGAUUUAACAAUGGCCUAUAGUCAAUGAGGCUGAGAUGCCAAAAUUUCCCUGGCAUAUUAUAGAUUGAGAAAAGAGUCUGAAGAUUCUGGAGAUAGGAAUGUUUGAGUGGAUAUGUUAUAUGCAACCUACUUGGCCACCAACCCACAACCAUAUCAUGCAUCUUCAUCAAGACAUUAAAAGAUGUAGGGAAUUUCUUCUACUAAUGGCAGUUAAAGACCAAUCUUCCUGCUGAAAACAAUCAUAAAAGCUGGAUAAAGCAUAAGAACAAAUCUGUUUCAAGUCAUGAAAGAACUGCUAUGGCAGCAAGGACUUGAAGGGAUAUGUACCUGGGAGAGGUGAAACUGACAUAUAAUCAAGUUCUUCCCUUCAAAGUAUGUGCUGAUUCCCAAGUUGCAGCUCAGAGACCAAGAAGCCAAGCAUAUCUUCUAGAAGUUUACAGGCCCAGAGGGACAAAAAUUGGAGUUGGGAUCCUCAAAGUGUUACAACUCCCAGUGUAGACAGGAACCAGAAAAAGACAAGACUUCCCAAAGAUUAGACCUGCCCAGCCCACAAGCAUCUCAAUGCCUAACUAAAAUAGAUCUCCCCCAACCAUAAUUACCUUCCAGGAGCAAAAAUAUAUCCUCCCAACAGAUGAUAACACCAUCCAGAGCCUCAGUUUUUUUCUUUGAUCUUUCAUAUACCAUAUCAGCAUCAAUAUAUUACCAGGCAUAAUAGGAAACAAGACCAUAUGACUAAAAAGAGAAAAAAAUCAAAAUCUAUUAGUAAGAAAGUCACAAAGUAGACAGAUAUUGGAUGGAAUUGCCAGAUGCAGAAUGGGAUUAUAUAUAAAUGAUAAGUUCAAGGAUUGAGAUGAAAAUAUAGAGAAUUUUAGCAAAGAACUAGAAAAAAUAUACAUUUUUUAAAAGAUCUAAUGGAAUCUUAGGAAAAAAACCACAAUACUUGAAAUUAAGAACUCCAUAGAUGGGGGUGCCCGGUGGCUCAGUUGGUUAAGUGUCUGAUUCUUGGUUUUGGCUCAGGUCAUGAUCUCAGGGUUCCUGAACUCAAGACCCACAUCAGGUUCUGUACUGGCAGAGCAGAGCCUACUUGGGAUUCUCUCUCUCUCCCUCUCUCUCUCUCUGCCCUUCCCCCCUGCUCUCUCUUAAAUUAAAAAAAAAAAAAAAACUUUGAAAGAACUCCAGGGGCACCUGGGUGGAUCAAUCGGUUGAGCAUGUGACUUCAGCUCAGGUCAGGAGCUCACGGUUUGUGAGUUCGAGCCCCGCACUGGGCUGUGUGCUGACAGCUCAGAGCCUGGAGCCUGUGUCAGAUUCUGUGUCUCCCUCUCUCUGCCCCUUCCCCGCUCAUGCUCUGUCUCUCUCUGUCUCUCAAAAAUGAUUAAAUGUUAAAAAAAAAAAUUUUUUUAAGAAAGAACUCCAUAGAUGGGUAUAAAAGUAGACUACACAAAAUUAGAACAUUAGUGAAGUAGAGGAUUAAUUAAAAUAGCCAGAUAUUUCUCCCAAGAAGAUAUGUAGAUAGUCAAUAAGCACAUGAAAAAAUACUCUACAUCAUUAGCCAUGAGGGAAAUGCACAUCAAAACUAUGAUGAGAGGCACCUGGGUGGCUCAGUCGGUUGAGCUUCUCUAACUCUUGAUUUCAGCUCAGGUCAUGAUCCCAGGGUCGUGGGAUCGAUCCCUGUAUUGGGCUCUGUACUGAGCAUGGAAUCUGCUUGAGAUUCUCUCUCUCUCCCUCUGCCCCUCUCCCCCACUCAGCCUCUCUCUCUCUCUAAAGUUAAAAAAAAAAAAAACCUAUGGGGCUCCUGGGUGGCUUAGUCAGUUGGGUGUCCAACUUUGGCACAGGUCAUGAUCUCAUGGUUCGUGGGAAUGAGCCCUGCAUCGGGCUCUGUGCUGAUGGCUCGGAGCCUGGGGCCUGCUUUGGAUUCUGUGUCUCCCUCUCUGUCCCUUCCCCACUCACACUCUCUCCCAGCUUGCACUCUCUCUCUCAAAACUAAAUAAACAUUAAAGAAAAAAGGAAAAAAAAAACCCCUACCAUGAGAUACCACACUGCACUCUCUAGGAUGGCUUCAAUUAAAAGACAAGAAAUAGACAAUAAUAAGCAUUGGUGAAAUUAGAACUUCCAUACCUUUCUGAUGAGAAUUUAAAUGGUGUAGUUUCUUUGGAGAAGAGUUUGAAAUGUUCUCAAAGAGUUCAACAUAAAGUUACUAUAUGACCCAGCCAUUCUGUUCCUAGGUAUGUACCCAAGAGAACUGAAAAAUCUGUAUUCACACACACAAAAAAACUUUACAUGAAUGUUCAGGAGCAGCAUUAUUCAUAAUAGUUAAAAAGUGGAAACAUCCAUAUGUCCAUCAUCUGAUGAAUGGGCAAACCAAAUGUGGUAUAUCCAUACCGUGGAAUAUUAUUCGUCCGUAAAAAGGAAUGAAGGAUUGGCACAUGCUACAAUACAACUUGAUUGAAUCUUGAAAGCCACUAUGGUAAAUGGAAGAAUCUAGACACAAAGAGCCAUAUAUUAUAUGAUUCCAUAUGUAUGAAAUACAUAGGCAAAUCUGUAGAGAUAGAAAAUAGGUUAGUGUUUGUCAUGGGCUAGGGGAAAGAGAAGAGUGGGAGAAAUGGAGAGUAACUGCUUAAUGGGCACAGGUUUUCCUUUGGAGUGAUAAACAUGUUUUGGAAAACGCAGUGAUGCUUGCACAACAUUGUGAACAUACUGAAAACCCCAGAAUUGUACACUUUGAAAGGUAACUUGUAGAAAAUGGUGUCCAAAGCAGUACAAAUAAACUCUGGUCCAUAGAGAUACCCCCACUGGAUAUUAACCUAUUUUACAUCUGUUAGCAAAAUCACUUCAAUAUUUCUGACCAAUAUCUUAAUCUGUACCUAUUUAUCUGUUCUUAAGAUUCUCCUUUGAACUAGUCUUAACAUCUUACUGGUUCCCUCAUUAAUUACUGAAUUGAAUAAAACUGUUACUUCAUGUUCAUUUUAUGGCUGCCAUGAGAGUCGUGCUUUUAACUUUUUGAAAAUUAUACUUUAGCAGUAAGAAGAAGGGAGACGAUGCCUAGCAGGAUGCUGAAAUUAUUUCAUUAUAGUAGAAAGAUGGGGAAUGGAGAGAGAAGUUAACCUUCAAAGAUACUUUUGUUCCCUUACAGAGAAUACAAAUACCCUCACUAAAUAUACCCUGUGACCCUCCAAAAAGAUGCCACUUAGUCUAAAAUCUUUGGCAAAGCACAUCUGAAGAAAUAGGCCUGGUCUCCAGGACAGGUCUCUCCCCUGAGAGCACUUGAACCCCAGUGGCCAUCUGCUUUUACUCUGACUGCAGUCUGAGAAAGAACAUGGGGACACAGGCACAGACACAUGCCCUGGGAUGGUGAGUGUUCAGAGAUGAAAGUAUACCUUCAAUUCAAAACUUGAGUAACACUAUUUGCUUGUGGUCAGGGUAAUGGUUAGAGUUAGGAUAGGGUUAGGACAGGGUUAGGUUAGGGUCAGGGUUAGUUUUAUGGUUAGGAUUAGAGACCAGCUGUCAGGUAAUUGGCCAAAGUGUCAUGGGUUUAGUAACACCAAAAGUCUUUACAUUAGAAGUGGAAAACUUCACAUAUGAGUCUUUCCUCAUGAGUUGCCUACACCUUAGGGUGGUAGUGAUCCAGGAUCCUGCCCCGGUACUCCGUGCCCUGACUUUUAUGUUCUGUCCACAUCUGUCCACCUUAUCAGUUGCAUCCUCUCCUGGCCAUCAGUUCCUUCCCAUAAGCUUUUUUUCACACAUGCAAUUUCAAAAUAAUGAAAAGGCAUUUAAAUCGGGAAAUGUAAGGUGCACCUAGGUGGCUCAGUAGGUCCAACUUCAGCUCAGGUCAUGAUGUCGUGGUUUGUGGGUUUGAGCACCAUGUCGGGCUCUGUGCUGACAUGUCAGAGCCUGGAGCUUGCUUCAGAUUCGGUGUCUCCCUGUCUCUCUGCCCCUCCCCUGCCGUGCUCAGUCUCUCAACAAUAAAAUUAAUCUUAAAAAAAAUUUUUUUAAACAGGAAAGGAAAGCUGAAUAUUCUCCUGCUUACACCUGAUGCCAGAAAGAAUUCGUAAGAGAACUCUUUGAUUUCUGUUCACAGUUAAUGUUCUUUAAUUCGUAAUAGAGUUGUCAUUUGUGUUUUCUAUAAGCAUCCAUUAGUUGCCAGUUAGUUACUAAAUGUAAUAAUUUUCAGUCUUUCUUUGAUUUAAUUUCUUUAAUCCUGGAAGCAAUAUGUGUUUUUGACAUUACUGAUUUUCGUUUGAGCCCUGCUUACAGAUUCUGCUACUUGACUUUUGGCCCACAUUUUCAACUUGGUUUCUCCUACUCAUGACUUUGUGUUUCCUCUUAUAACAUGAAUUCUGUGAAUGUAAACCUGUGACCUACGGCAUAGUUUCUUGGUCUAUUAAUGAUAGUCCAUUUGAAUGUAAUUUACGGGAAAAUAUCUUCUUUGUACUCACACAUCCUUGUUAUAGUACCUUUCUUCUAAUGGGCUCAAAACCCUGCUCAAAACCAGUCCCAAAACAAGUUUUAGGAGAUUAGUUAAGUCAAAAAACAUCCAUUGAUCCGGUUCAACUAGCUAGCACUAUUCGAAAUUCCAGGGAUGAAAAGAGGAGUAAAUCCCAGAUCUGAUUUCAGAUCUUAGCAAGGGAAUAUUCCCCCAAAGGAAGAGGAACACUGCAAAAAGACUCUUAUGUCCUAAGCACUGUGCUUGCUGUAUUUCUGAGGUAUCUCGCUUUUCUCACAAUAAAGCUAAAAGAAAAAUAAAAUUAGUCCCAUUUUACAGAUGAGAAAAUUGAGGCCCACAAAAAUUUUAGUAACUUGCCAAUAUCACAUAUCUGAUAGGUAGCAGAACCAGGAUUUGUUGCUAUUCUUUUCUGAAUCCCAAACCAAUGCUUUUUCCAUUAACGCACAAUCUGAGUUGAUUUCAGUAUUGUUCACAGAAGCAGAGUAACAUCACUUUUUUUUCCCUUAACAUUACUUUCCUUGAAGAUUAGAGUCAUCACCCAAAUUACGUGGGCUUUAAGGAGGCAGACCUCCAUUCAAAAUUCUUCUUUCCAUGGGUGCCUGAGCCAGUGGCUCAGUCGGUUAAGCAUCUGAAUCUUGAUUUUGGCUCGGGUCACGAUCGCAUGGUUUGUGAGAUCCAGCCCUGGCUCCAUGCUGACAGGGGAAAGCCUGCUUGAGAUUCUCUCUCUCCCUGUCUCUCUGCCCCUCCCCCACUCAUGCACUCUGUUUCUGUCUCUGUCAAAAUAAAUAAACUUAAAAACAGAAAAGAAAGGUAAUUUAUUAAAAUGGAAGCAAGUCACAGACCAAAUUUUGGAGCAUAUUCAAACAUAUAUUGAACAUUUAUUAGAAAUAAAGCUCAGGGGUGAGGGGCAAUAUGGAGGACCCUUGUUGGGAUGAGCACUGGGUAUUAUAUGUAAGUGAUGAAUCACAAAAUUCUAUAGCUGAAAUUAUUAUUACACUAUAUGUUAACUAACUUGGAUUUAAAUUAAAUACAAAAACUUAGAUUAAAUUAAAUUUUUAAAUUUAAGUUUAAAAAAUUAAUUUUUAAUUAAAUUAAAUUUUCAUUUAAUUAAAGAAAGUCCAUAUAGUCCUACACCCUGUUCUAUAAGCUCUUGAAGUCUCAGAGCUCUGACUACACCUGGCAUUAAAUGUUAACUCAAGACAAAAUCACAAUCAUAUCCCAGAAGUAAUUUUGUGGUUGAUAUCAGGCAAUCAGAAUCCUUGUGUCGGAAAUUGGACAUAGGAAUGUUUAGUUUAAGCCAUACAUACCAUUCUAGAGAGUGAGAGGUGAAGGGCUCACUACAUUUUACUCAACUCACCUUCUCAAACAAAACAAAUGUUGGGGCACCUGGGUGGCUCAGUUGGUUAAGCGUCCAACUUCAGCUCAGGUCAUGAUCCCACCAUUUGUGAGUUUGUGAGUCUCACAUUUGUGAGUCUCACAUCAGGCUCUGUGCUGAUAGCUUCGAAUCCUCUGUCCCACUCUCUCUUUGCCCCUCCCCCAGUCGCUCCUGCUCUUUUUCUCUCAAAAAUACAUAAAAACAUUAAAAAAAAAGAAAUCAAACAAAACAAAUUUCACCGAUAAAAUCACUUUACUUUUCUUUUUUAAAUAAUUUAUUGUCAAGUUAGCUAACAUACAGUGUAUACAGUGUGCUCUUGGCUUUGGGAGUAGAUUCCCAUGAUUUGUUGCUUACAUACAACACCCAGUGCUCAUCCCAACAAGUGCCCUCCUCAAUGCCCAUCACCCAUUUUCCCCUCUCCCCCACCCCCCCCCCCAUCAGCCCUCAAUUUGUUCUCUGUAUUUAAGAGUCUCUUAUGGUUUGCCUCCCUAAAAUCACUUCUUUUUUUUUUUUUAAUUUUUUAAUGUUUAUUUAUUUUUGAGAGAGAGAGAGAGAGACAGAGCAUGAUCAGGGGAGGGGAAGGGAGAGAGGGAGACACAGAAUUCAAAAAAGGCUCCAGGCUUUGAGCUGUGAGCACAGAGCCCGAUGUGGGGCUUGAACCCACAAACAGUGAGAUCAUGACCUGAGCCAAAGUCAGACGCUUAACCAAAUGAGCCACCCAGAUGCCCCUAAAAUCACUUUUCUAAUAUCCCAUUGGGUUGAUUAACAAAUUUUCUGUUUGCUGCUUGGAAAGAAAGACAGCUGGAGUGCGGGCAUUUGAUUAUAUGCUCCCCAACUACCUCUACAAUAUCUAUUCACGUUUAGAACUAAAGUGUCUGAUGCUGGCUCCAGAGUGUGGAUUAAAGCCAACUCAUACAUACAUCUAUGUCACUUUAUAACCCAAUGUAAAGUAUUUUAAAGUAAAUUCCUGCCAGUACCACAACUGUCAUCUGUGCUCCAGGAGUCGUGGUGGCUCUGUGGCUUAGAAUACAGUCAUUAUAAGCACUCUCUUUGAGGAUUUGUGCAGCAGGAAAGUCCUUGGCAUUCCCUUUUGUAAGGACAGUGUACCGAUCCUUCUGUAAUCUAGGGCAGUUCAUCUAACCUCUGCUUGCAUUUUUUCCCAUGCCUGUACUUACAUAAAGAACAUUAACAUGUUUGGAAAGAGUCCAACAAAAUACAGUUAUUGUUCAGCUCUUUAGAAAUCCCCUUCCCAGGGUCUGUGCAGGCUCAAACAGAUCAGGCUCUUCUCCCUGGAGAAACAAUGCACAAAAAUGAGGCCAAAAGAGACAGGAGAACUAGGGAGGAAUAAUUAUUCUUGUAUUUUUAUUCUUAGCUCUUUUUCAAUCUCAAAAAAGAGAUAUAAUCUGAGAAAUCAUAUUAAAUGGCAAUGCUUAUGAGUCUGUACAUGUGCCAAGGAAAAUUACACAAUUAGGAAGUGUACAAAUGAGCCAUGUCCUGUCCCAAAUUCUUUCCCUAUUUUACAACCAAUUUGUUUCAUUUCUUUACCAGAUAGAGAACCUGUAUUAAUAACCCCCACAAAAUAGAUCAUCCUUUAAUUUACCUCAUGAUAAUAUUAAAUCAAAAGAUAAAUUUUGAAACACUUUCUAUUAGUGCUGAAAGAUUGCUGAUCAAUAGAUGAUACAUAAUCUGAAUUCUCUUUCAAUAAUAAGCUUCUUAAAUAGAAGAUUUUGAUAAAUUAAAAGGAUCUUUGUAAAUUAGAAUCUUCCCAAGAGAGAAGUUAUACUAUUUUUUUGGAGGAUCCAGGAUUUAACCUAAAAUGGUUUUUGUUUGUUUGUUUGUUUGUUUUUGCAUAUUCAGCCAUCACCAAUAAGAGUGAAGUACUCUUAUCCUGGUAUGAUUUCUAAUUUUACUCACUAGAAUAUAUUGUGAACCUCCCUUUUUCACUUUUUCACAUAUAUUGACGUUAACAAGGGCUCACUUUUGAAUGAAAGAUAAAAUCUAAGGACCCAGUUCAAAAGAGAUAGCCCAGCAAAAAAGGACCUAUCCUGAGGCACAUCCUCAUGCUAUUUCAGAGUGCCAAUGAAAGAAAAUCCUAAAAUCUUCCAAAGAAAAGAAAGAAAAAAAAAACCAGAUCACAAACAAAAGAUUAGGAAUCAGAACAAUAUGACACUUCUCCACGAUAAUACUGGAAAGUAGAAGACAGUGGAAUAAAACCUUCAAAAUUCUAAGGGAGAAUCGUUUUAAAUUAGGGAUUAUAUACCCAGCCAAACUAUUAAUCAAGUACAAUUUGUUAACCAAGUGAUGACAUUUUCAGAUACUUCAAAAACUUUACUUGCUGAAUAUACAUUCUCAAGAAAUACUGAAGAAUAUGAAAAGAGGGAGGAAAUCAAGGAAAAGGGGAAGAAAUGGGAGCCAGGAAGUAGAGGACUCAACACAGGAGAGUCAAAGGGAGCUCACGCUCCAAGGGUCAAGGUGAGACCCCACACAACAGUCGUAUGUGGUGAAAGCAACCCAACAGCAGUGGAAAGUUUGGUACCUGAGGAAUUAACCUGCUUGAGAACAAGUAGGUUGUGAGGAGCUUGAGAGCUCUGGUGGAGGGUUUGAGAGCAAAUUUGUGUUGAAUACACAGAAAAAUAAACAAAUUUUUUAAAUGAGGAAAUGUUUAAUGCAAGGGGAAUGAAGAUGUACAUGGAGAGAAAUGUAAUCAUACAUAAACAGAACUUGGCUGUGAACAGUAUUAAUUUUUUUAAUGUUUAUUUUUGAGAGAAAGAGAGAGAGAGAGAGAGUGCAAGGGGGAAAGGGGCAGAGAGAGGGGGAGACACAGAAUCUGGAGUAGGCUCCAGGCUCUGACCUGUCAACACAGAGCAUGACACAGGGCUCAAACCCAUGAAUUGAGAGAUCGUGGCCUGAGCCGAAGUUGGACACUUAACUACACUUAACUGGAUUGAGCUACCCAGGAGCCCCUGAACAGCAUUAAUUUAAUCAAAAUAACAUAACCACUGAAUGUGGGUUUUAAUUAUGGUGGAAGAAUGGGCUAUGUAUUGGGGAAAAGUGAAGGGUAGAAAAAUGAAAUUCUCAUCAUUUGUAAAAGGAAAUUAAUUGAUAAUAUCUUCUGUUGAAAAUCAAGAAUUAGUAUAAGCAUUUGGUUUAGAAAUAGGGAAGCAAAUAGCAGAAGAAAGAGCAAAAAGAGUUGAAGAAGUUUGUAGGGAGUGGACAUGAGGGGUGAGGAAGGGUAUGAACAGGAGGCUGUUUUAAGUUUAAAGAAAUAUAUCUUUUUAAAAUUUUAUUCUGUUUUUAUUUUAAUUCAGUAUAGUUAACAUACAGUGUUGUAUUAGUUUCAGGUGUACAAUUUAGUGAUUCAACAAUUUUAUACAUUACUCAGUGCUCAUCAUGAUAAGUAUACUCUUUAAUCCCUAUUACCUAUUUUACCCACACACACCUCCACAUCCCCUCUGGCAACCAACAGUUUGUUCUCUGUAGUUAAGAGUCUGUUCAGAUAACACCAGCAUUCUUCACAGAGCUAGAAUGAACAAUCCUAAAAUUUGUAUGGAACCAGAAAAGACCCCAAAUAGCCAAAGCAAUCCUGAAAAAUAAAACCAAAGCUGGAGGCAUCACAAUUCUGGACUUCAAGAUGUGUUACAAAGCUGUAGUAAUCAAAACAGUAUGGUACUAGCACAAAAACAGACACAUAGAUCAAUGGAACAGAAUGGAGAACCCAGAAAUGGACCCACAAACAUAUGGCCAAAUAAUAUUUGACAAAGCAGUAAAGAAUAUCCAAUGGAAUAAAGACAGUCUUUUUAGCAAAUGGUGUUGGGAAAACUGGACAGCAACAUGCAGAAGAAUGAAUCUGGACCACUUUCUUACACCAUACACAAAAAAACCCUCAAAAUGGAUGAAAGACCUAAAUGUAAGACAGGAAGCCAUCAAAAUCCUCGAGGAGAAAGCAGGCAAAAACCUCUCUGACCUCGGCCACAGCAACCUCUUACUCAACAUAACUGUGAAGGCAAGGAAAACAAAAGUAAAAAUGAACUAUUAGGACCUCAUCAAGAUAAAAAGCUUCUGCACAGCAAAGGAAACAGCAAAACUAAAAGGCAACCAAUGGAAUGGGAGAAGAUAUUUGAAAAUGACAUAUCAGAUAAAGGGUUAGUAUUCAAAAUCUAUAAAGAACUUAUCAAACACAACACCCCAAAAAACAAAUAAUCCAGUGAAGAAAUGGGCAGAAGACAUGAAUAGAUAUUUUCCAAAGACAUCCAGAUGGGUAACAGGAAUAUGAAAAAAUGCUCAACAUCACUCAUCAUCAGGGAAAUACAAAUCAAAAUCACAAUGAGAUACCACCUCACACCUAUCAGAAUGGCUAAAAUUAACAACUCAGGCAACAACACAUAUUGGCAAGGAUGUGGAGAAAGGGGAUCUCUUUUGCAUUACUGUUGAAAAUGCAAACUGGUGCAGCCACUCUGGAAAACAGUAUGGAGGUUCCUCAAAAAAUUAAAAAUAAAGUUACCCUACAACCUGGCAAUUGCACUACUAGGCAUUUAUCCAAAGGAUACAGGUGUGCUGUUUCAAAGGGACACUUGCACCCCAAUGUUUAUAGCAGUACUAUCAACAAUAGCCAAAGUAUGGAAAGAGCCCAAAUGUCCAUUGACAGAUGAAUGGAUAAAGAAGAUGUGGUAUAUAUAUACAAUGGAAUAUUACUUGGCAAUCAAAAAGAAUGAAAUCUUGCCAGUUGCAACUAUGUGGAUGGAACUAUAGAAUAUUAGCUAAGCAAAAUUAGAGAAAGACGAGUAUCAUAUGACUUCACUCAUACGAGGACUUUAAGAUACAAAACAGAUGAAUAUAAGGGAAAGGAAGCAAGAAGAAUAUAAAAACAGGGAGGGGGACAAAACAGAAGAGACUCUUAAAUACAGAGAACAAACAGGGUUGCUGGAGGGGUUGUGGGUAGGUGGAUGGGCUAAAUGGGCAAGGGGCAUUAAGGAGAACACCUGGGAUGUCCUCCCAAUCCUAACACUUGGGAUGAUCAUUGGGUGUUAAAUGUAGGGAAUGAAUCACUGGAUUCUACUCCUGAAAUCAUUAUUGUACUAUAUGCUAACUAACUUAGAUGGAAAUUAAAGAAAAAAUUUUUUUUAAUUUUGAAAAGAAUCUAUUCCUUGGUUUGUCUCUUUUUUUUCCUUUGUUCAUUUGUUUUGUUUCUUAAAUUCCACAUAUGAGUGAAAUCAUAUGGUAUUUGUGUUUCUCUGACUUAUUUUCACUUAGCAUUAUACUUUCUAGCUCUAUCAUGUUGUUGUAAAUGGCAAGAUUUCAUUCUUUUUUAGGGCUGAGUAAUAUUCCACUAUGUGUAUAUAUACAUGUAUAUACACAUACAUACACACCACAUCUUUAUUCAUUCAUCUAUUGAUGGAUACUUGGGCUUUUUCCAUAAUUUGGCUAUUAUAAAUGAUCCUGCAAUAAACAUAGGGGUGCAUGUAUCAUUUCAAAUUAGUGUUUUUAUAUUCUUUGGGUAAAUACCCAGUAGGGGGGUGUAGGACAGUAGUGUUUUUAUAUUCUUUGGGUAAAUACUCAGUGGGGGGAGGUGUUAAGUUGUAGAAGUUCUUUAUAUAUUUUGGAUACUAACCGUUUAUUGAAUAUUUCAUUUGCAAAUAUCUUCUCCCAUUCAGUAGAUUGUCUUUAAUUUUGUUGAUUGUUUCCUUCAUUGUGAAGGACUAUUUUGAUAUAGUCCCAAUAGCUUAUUUUUCCUUUUAUUUUCUUUGCCUUAGGAGUCAGAUCUAGAAAAAUGUUGCUAUGACGCAUGUCAGAGAAAUUGCUGCCUGUGCUUUCUUCUAAGAUUUUUACAGUUUCAGGUCUCAUAUUUAGGUCUGAGAAAGAUGUAUCUUGUAAAAAUAUGUACAUUGAUAAGUAUACUUUUGUUUUUCAUUUUGAAGAGUGAGCAGAAAUUUGAAAAAUGAGUAGAAUGAGUUUAGAAAACUCACAUUUAAAGAUUAAAAUGAUUAAUUGAAUUCCAGAUGGCUGAGGCCUAUGAUUUCCGCUCUUUACCUGUAAGAAAACCAAUGGCCAACUUUAAAAUAUCUAUUUUGGUUGCUGGGGACAUGGAAUGAUAAGUAACAAAAAUUCACAGAUUCUUCCCCAUCACCUAAUACCUACAAGGAAAGGUUUGGGCCUCUAGUAGCACUAACUCCCAUUUCUCAGUUUGGUAUACCCAUAAAUCCCCACUCUAAGGAACUGAGCAUUGUUUUAGUUGCUUGGAAAUGAGCAAAAGAGAUUACCAGGUGUUCCUUAACAUCAGCAUAUGUUUUACAAGUCUAUAGGGACAAAGGUUAACUUGUAGAUUUUUGUCGAGUUUAAUGCAAAUUAAUUUCCAUCCCAUGGAAAAGAUAACCUCAAAGGUUAGAGCUUAUGGCCAUGUUGGACAUUAUCCAGUUCUGUAUAAACAGUGAUGUAUUAAAUUGGUGAUGUAUACCUAAGUUUCGCAAAUGCUUAUAGUAUCUUAUUAGUCACAGCAUCUUAAUUGUUCCCUCAUUAAUUAAUGAGUUGCAUAAAUCUUUGACAUUUUCAUUGUAUAUUUGCAUUACAGUAUGAUGUUACCUUUAUAAAGACUGUAUUUUAGCAAAGACUAAAAUGACAUCUAUAUAAACAUUUAAAACUCCUAUUCUGGGGCACCUGGGUGGCUCAGUUGGUUAAGCGUACAAUUCUUGAUUUUGGCUUAGGUCAUGAUGUUGCGAUUUGUGAGUUCAAGCCCCACAUCGGACUCUGCAUUGACAGUGUGGAGCCUGCUUGGGAUUCUCUCUCUCUUUCUCUGCCCCUCCCCCCCAUCAAAAUAAAUAAAUAAACUUAAAAAAAUUAAAACUCCUAUUCCUAGAAUUAGCCUUUAAAACACAUUGUUAUAGAAAUUAACACAUUUUUUUUAACCAAAGUAAUGUAGAAGAAACUGGGUUUUAUUCUCUUUCCUGUUCUGGUUGGAGGUACCUGUUGGACUUAGUCAAUCAAGCAAAAUGUUUUCAGGGAGACUCUUCCAGGCUCAUAGGAUGGACCCAGGCCUCACAGACAUUACAAAAUAAAUAGGAACAAGACCAAAUCUUAACAAUGAAGCUUGGAGGCAGAAGAAGAUUCCCCUUAGAGUCUAGAAGAAGACAAGAUCAUGCUCUAGGUUAAUGGGAAGGCUUCUUUCCCAAGCAGGUGUCAGCUGGAGUUGGGGCUUCAAAGGUGGAACAAGGGAAAAAAAGGAGGGCACACAGUGAGCACAGACUAGGAGGUUUAGCUGGGGCAGGCCUGUGGGAAGCUGGACAGCUUGAGAGCAGGAAUAAAGAGACUGCUACUCUCUUGGGGUGCCUGGAUGGCUCUGUUGGUUAAGCGUCUGACUUCAGCUCAGGUCAUGAUCUCACAGUCUGUGAGAUCUCACGAGCCCCGUGUCGGGCUCUGUGCUGACAGCUCAGAGCCUGGAGCCUGCUUCAGAUUCUGUGUCUCCCUCCUUUCUGCCCUUCCCCUGCUCAUACUCUGUCUCUCUCUGUCUCAAAAAUAAAUAAAAAUAUAUAUAUAAAAAAAAGAGACUGCUACUCUCUCCAUCCUGUUCAUUUGACAACAAUGUAUUACCUCACUGCAUUCAUUCAUGAUCUCUGUAUGUAUCUUAGUCCUUUUAGCCUGCAGUAACAAGAAUACCUACCACAGGCUGAAUGGCUUAUAAACAACAGAGAUUUAUUUCACAUAGUCUGUAGGCUGGGAAGUCCAUGAUUAAGGUGCUGGAAGAUUGGGUGUUUAGUUCACAGACAGCAAUCUUUCACUGGGUCCUCACUUGGCAGAAAGGGCGAGGGAGUUUUCCUGGGCCUCUUAUACUGGCACCCAUCCUAUAUGAAGCUCAUGACCUAAUCACCUCCCAAAGUCCCCACCACCUAAUACAACAUCACAUUGGGGAUUAGGUUUUAACAUAUGCAUUUCAGGGGUGAGGGGAACAAAAACAUUCAAUCUAUAGCAUUGUGUUUUUAAAUUAGUUGUAAGUUCUUUUGCAUUGCUUUAAUUAUACCUAUGAGAAAAACAAAAACAAAAACAAAAAAAACGUAUUCAUGUAGUAUAUUACUGUGCUAGGGUUGCCAAAACAAGAUAACACAGACUUGUAUCUUAAACAGAAAUUUUUUUCUCACAGUUCAGGAGGCUAGAAGUCCAAGGUCAAGGUGCUGAGGAGGUUGGUUUCUGAUGAGGUUUCUCUCUGAUUUGCAGAUGGCCACCUUCCCACUGUGUCCUCACAUGACCUUUCUUCACACCUCCCUGGUGUCUCUUCCUCUUCUGAUAAGGAUGCCAAUCGUAUUGGGUUUGGGCCCAGCCAUAUGGCAUCAUUUAACCUUAAUUACCUCUUUAAAAGUCC